rnacentral:rRNA from 1 species
CGGAGGAUGCAAGCGUUAUCCGGAAUGAUUGGGCGUAAAGCGUCCGCAGGUGGCAUUUCAAGUCGAUUGUCAAAUCACCCAGCUUAACUGGGGAGCGGCAGUGGAAACUGAAAAGCUAGAGAGCAAUAGGGGUAGAGGGAAUUCCCGGUGUAGCGGUGAAAUGCGUAGAGAUCGGGAAGAACACCAGUGGCGAAAGCGCUCUACUAGGUUGCAUCUGACACUGAGGACGAAAGCUAGGGAGCGAAUGGGAUU